UACGGGGGGGGCAAGCGUUGUUCGGAAUUACUGGGCGUAAAGGGCUCGUAGGCGGCCAACUAAGUCAGACGUGAAAUCCCUCGGCUUAACCGGGGAACUGCGUCUGAUACUGGUUGGCUUGAGUGUGGGAGAGGGAUGCGGAAUUCCUGGUGUAGCGGUGGAAUGCGCAGAUAUCAGGAGGAACACCGGUGGCGAAGGCGGGUCUCUGGGCAGUAACUGACGCUGAGGAGCGAAAGCGUGGGGAGCGAACAGG
rnacentral:rRNA from 1 species